rnacentral:rRNA from 1 species
CGCUGGCGGCGUGCUUAAUACAUGCAAGUCGAACGGAGCAUUAGGAAGCUUGCUUCUUGAUGCUUAGUGGCGACGGGUGAGUAACGCGUGAGGAAUCUGCCUUAUUCAGGGGGACAACAGUUAGAAAUGACUGCUAAUACCGCAUAAGACCACAGUACCGCAUGGUACAGGGUAAAGAGUUUGUAUCGGAAUAAGAUGACCUCGCGUCCCAUUAGCUAGUUGGUGGAGGUAACGGCCUACCAAGGCGACGAUGGGUAGCCGAUCUGAGAGGAUAAUCGGCCACACUGGAACUGAGAAACGGACCAGACUCCUACGGGAGGCAGCAGUAGGGAAUAUUGGGCAAUGGGCGCAAGCCUGACCCAGCAACGCCGCGUGAAGGAAGAAGGCCUUAGGGUUGUAAACUUCUUUUAAGGGGGAAGAGCAGAAGACGGUACCCCUAGAAUAAGCCACGGCUAACUACGUG